UAGUUCAAUCCAUUAUAUGCUGGAUCCACGAGACGAGUUUUAAAGUUACGAACCGUUUUUUAUAGGAGUAGGUAUAAGUAUUGGUCGCGUCAACCAUUUAGCCACAGCCUGAGCAACGUAAUAAGCAAUAUAUCCUGUGAACCCACCGGACAAGUUAGCUCGUUUCAACACACAAGCACAUUUACUUUGACAAAAAUUAGAGUGUUCAAAGCAGGCUUUUGGGCUUGGAUAAUAGUCCAUGGAAUAAUGGAAUAGGACCUCGGUUCUAUUUUGUUGGUUUUCGGAGCGCGAGGUAAUGAUUAGGAAUGAUAGACUCGGACAUUCGAACUGUGCCGUUUAGAAGUGAAAUUCUUGGAUCGGCGCAAGACGUGAAGCAUUUGCCAAAAAUGUUUUAUUUGAUCAA
rnacentral:ncRNA from 1 species